ensembl:lncRNA
GUGAAAAGUAAGAUGGAUCACAGGUGGAGGAGGACGAGGCUAAAUCAGCUGAAAAACCAGCAGAAGCCUUUUUUCUUCUUUUUCAGGUAUUUUUCCAUGAGCUCUUCUUUCUCCAGGAUAAGGGUUCUCAACUGAUCGUUUGUUUCUGCAUUUUCCUUCUCGAGUUGCUGGCAUCUUUGCUCCAUUUCUUUUAAUCCUGCUUGUUUUUUUCUAAGCUUUUCUUUCAGGUCUUUGUAUGUUGCCUCCUCCAUUAGAUUUGCCUUGCACAUGUCUGUAUUUCUCUCUUGUUUUUUGUUGUGCAUCUCUACUAACAGCUCAUUUCUUCUCUGGAUUUCUUGACUCGUGCGCUGCAGGUCUUCAUGUAUUUUCUGUUGUUGUUGCUUUUGUGCCUGCAUUUCAGUUAUUUGGCUCUUCAAGUCAUUGAACUUCAACAACAUCUCAUUAAUGAUCUCUGAGUAUUUUCUCUUCAUUCCAUCGAUCCUACGCUGCAUCUUUGAACAUCGUUUUUCCAGUAUUUCCUUUUCUCUUUCCAGUUCAGGUGUUUUGUCCUUCAUUUUAUUACAAAAUUCUUGCAAUUCUAGAUUCCUUCUCUCAAAGUCCUGGAGAAUACGUUUUUCUUCUUCCUCUUGCUUUCUUUCUUCAAGAAGCUCUUUACUUUUGCACUUUGUUUCAUCAAACCUGACUUUCAGUGCUCUGUGUUUUUCCUUCAUACCUUUGAGUUUGUGUUGCAUUUGUAUUUCCUGUUCAGUCUUCUGUCGGUGGAUUUUUUUCAAUUGUUUUCUCCGCUUCAUUGAGCUUUCCUUGAAGCACCUGAUUCUGUUGCUCCAUGUUUUGGAGAUGCCACUGUAUCUCCUCAAUAGUAGCCUUCUUUCCUUGAAGCUGGGCAGAUGUUUCUUUUAACUCAGCACUCUGUGUUCCUGAUGAAAGAAAACGAGAAAAAGUCUUCUCUCAUCCUUGACCAAACUUCACUCCCCAGCCCUUGUUGAUCAUUUUUAUAUCAGGCUGGCGUUGCUGUUUUUCUUCCAGGUCUUUAUUUCAUGCUUCCAGUUGUCUGCACUUCUCCUCUAGUUGAAGUUUCUCUUCUUCAAUUUGUUUAAUUUUGUAAUGUAGGUCGGAGUUUUCCUUCUGACUUUCCUGUAAUGCCCUUUGGACUGAUAAGACACCACCCGUGGUCAUUUCUCCUGGAGAGAUUGGCCGGCCAGAACACAAAGAACAGGCAGCAUAAUCUUUUUUUCUUUCUCGGCGUUUUCGUGGACGCAUGUUGGAGCCUGUGCACAGUGACUCUGAAAAGGCUUAGAAAUAUUUCCAAAUGUGUCUCUGGUCCAACGUUUGAAGGCUGGGAACAAACUGUGGCUGCAUUAAAUGUUGGCCUGUCCUGUAUUAGGCAUUCAGGAUUUUCUUUGAUGGCCAUUUAGCUCUUAUGGCAUGAACUUGCUCAGUGCAUUAUUAUUUGCUUUUCUACGGUCUGAUAUUUGUUUACUAAUUGAUCGAUACAGUGCAUUAAAUAAGAUGUUAAAAACAUCAUCAUAUCAAACAUGAUCGAUUUGGGGGGAGUUUGUUUGGCACAUGCUGACUGCAUUCUAAUUCUAACCAGAACAGGAGGCGAGAGCAGAGAACAAGAGUGCAGCAGUUUGGUGAAAGGAACAGGAAAGGUGAAGAAGAGGUGAGCAUCCAAAAGACGAGCAAGAGGACAGUUUCAAAGGAGACAUUAUGGCACAAUAAAAGCUUGAAAAACUCACCUGAUGUAGUGGUAAGGCCAUGUUCACCACUAGAUGGAGACAACCUGGCACAGGUUAAUUUUUCAAAAAAGGCCUGGGUCGUGUAGCAGCCAACAACUCCUCCAGAGAGGCUGUCCUGGUGAGGGAGAAGUUCAUGGCCCCCUUCUCGGCUGAGGGAGCAGCAUCUUGGCAGCCAAAAGAAAAGUCGAUUUGAAGUCCCAGCGACUUCCCCACAACGGCUCUGAGCCACCCACAAACCUCUAAAGAGCGUUCCUGCUUUUUAAAAAUUUUCU